rnacentral:rRNA from 1 species
CGUACCUACGGGGGGCAGCAGUGGGGAAUAUUGGGCAAUGGACGCAAGUCUGACCCAGCAACGCCGCGUGAAGGAAGAAGGCUUUCGGGUUGUAAACUUCUUUUAAGGGGGAAGAGCAGAAGACGGUACCCCUUGAAUAAGCCACGGCUAACUACGUGCCAGCAGCCGCGGUAAUACGUAGGUGGCAAGCGUUGUCCGGAUUUACUGGGUGUAAAGGGCGUGCAGCCGGAGAGACAAGUCAGAUGUGAAAUCCGGGGGCUCAACCCCCGAACUGCAUUUGAAACUGUUGGUCUUGAGUAUCAGAG